rnacentral:rRNA from 1 species
GACGAACGCUGGCGGCGUGCUUAAUACAUGCAAGUCAACUGAACUUUAGGUAGCAAUAUUUAAAGGGAGGUGGCGCACGGUGAGUAACACGUAGGUAAUCUGCCUUCAGGACUGACAUAAUUCCGCGAAAGCGGGACUAAAAUCAGAUGAUGCAGCGGCUCGACAUCGAGACAGUUGUUAAACCUUCGGGGCCUGAAGAUGAGCCUGCGUCUGAUUAGGUAGUUGGCGGGGUAAAAGCCCACCAAGCCUGCGAUCAGUAGCUGGUCUGAGAGGAUGAUCAGCCACACUGGAACUGAGACACGGUCCAGACUCCUACGGGAGGCAGCAGUAAGGAAUAUUGCUCAAUGGCCCGAAAAGGCUGAAGCAGCAAACGCCGCGUUGGAGGAUGAAAUACUUUAGUAUGUAAACUCCUGUAAGAGGGGAAAAAUAUACAGCAUGCUGUGUUGAUUGUACCCUCAGAGU